CUAGUGAUUGAGUUUGAUCCUGGCUCAGGAUGAACGCUAGCGACAGGCUUAACACAUGCAAGUCGAGGGGCAGCAUGAAGUAGCAAUACUUUGAUGGCGACCGGCGAAUGGGUGAGUAACACGUAUGCAACCUGCCUUCAAGAGGUGAAUAGCCCGGCGAAAGUCGGAUUAAUGCGCCAUAAAACAGGGGUUCCGCAUGGGACUAUUUGUUAAAGAUUAAUUGCUUGGAGAUGGGCAUGCGUUCCAUUAGGCAGUUGGCGGGGCAACGGCCCACCAAACCGACGAUGGAUAGGGGUUCUGAGAGGAAGGUCCCCCACAUUGGUACUGAGAGACGGACCAAACUCCUACGGGAGGCAGCAGUGAGGAAUAUUGGUCAAUGGUCGAGAGACUGAACCAGCCAAGUCGCGUGAAGGAAGAAGGAUCUAUGGUUUGUAAACUUCUUUUGCAGGGGGGUAAAGUGAGUGACGAGUCAUUCAUUGCAAGUACCCUGCGAAUAAGCAUCGGCUAACUCCGUGCCAGCAGCCGCGGUAAUACGGAGGAUGCGAGCGUUAUCCGGAUUUAUUGGGUUUAAAGGGUGCGUAGGUGGAGAGAUAAGUCAGUGGUGAAAUCCUGAUGCUUAACGUUAGGAUUGCCGUUGAAACUGUUUUUCUAGAGUGUGAUUGAGGCAGGCGGAAUGUGUGGGUGUAGCGGUGAAACGCAUAGAUAUCACGCAGAACUCCGAUUGCGAAGGCAGCUUGCCAAGCCACAACUGACACUGAAGCACGAAAGCGUGGGGAUCAAACAGGAUUAGAUACCCUGGUAGUCCACGCAGUAAACGAUGAUUACUAGGAGUUUGCGAUAGACAGUAAGCUCCCGAGCGAAAGCGUUAAGUAAUCCACCUGGGAAGUACGCCGGCAACGGUGAAACUCAAAGGAAUUGACGGGGGCCCGCACAAGCGGAGGAACAUGUGGUUUAAUUCGAUGAUACGCGAGGAACCUUACCCGGGAUUGAACGUGAGCGGAAUACGGCCAAAAGGCCGUAGCUAGCAAUAGCCACUUACGAGGUGCUGCAUGGUUGUCGUCAGCUCGUGCCGUGAGGUGUCGGCUUAAGUGCCAUAACGAGCGCAACCCUUAUUGCCAGUUACUAACAGGUAGUGCUGAGGACUCUGGCGAGACUGCCGGCGUAAGCUGUGAGGAAGGUGGGGAUGACGUCAAAUCAGCACGGCCCUUACAUCCGGGGCGACACACGUGUUACAAUGGUGGGGACAGCGGGGAGCUACCCGGCGACGGGAUGCCAAUCCUGAAACCCCAUCUCAGUUCGGAUCGGAGUCUGCAACUCGACUCCGUGAAGCUGGAUUCGCUAGUAAUCGCGCAUCAGCCAUGGCGCGGUGAAUACGUUCCCGGGCCUUGUACACACCGCCCGUCAAGCCAUGGGAGCCGGGGGUACCUAAAGUCCGUAACCGCAAGGAUCGGCCUAGGGUAAAACUGGUAACUGGGGCUAAGUCGUAACA
rnacentral:rRNA from 1 species